rnacentral:rRNA from 1 species
AGUCGAGGGGUAUAGGUUUUCGGACCUAGAGACCGGCGCACGGGUGCGUAACGCGUAUGCAAUCUACCUUUUACAGAGGGAUAGCCCAGAGAAAUUUGGAUUAAUACCUCAUAGUAUUAUUGAAUGGCAUCAUUUAGUAAUUAAAGUCACAACGGUAAAAGAUGAGCAUGCGUCCCAUUAGCUUGUUGGUAAGGUAACGGCUUACCAAGGCAACGAUGGGUAGGGGUCCUGAGAGGGAGAUCCCCCACACUGGUACUGAGACACGGACCAGACUCCUACGGGAGGCAGCAGUGAGGAAUAUUGGUCAAUGGGCGCAAGCCUGAACCAGCCAUGCCGCGUGCAGGAUGAAGCAUCUAUGGUGUGUAAACUGCUUUUGUACGAGAAGAAACACUCCUACGUGUAGGAGCUUGACGGUAUCGUAAGAAUAAGGACCGGCUAACUCCGUGCCAGCAGCCGCGGUAAUACGGAGGGUCCAAGCGUUAUCCGGAAUCAUUGGGUUUAAAGGGUCCGUAGGCGGUUUUGUAAGUCAGUGGUGAAAGCCCAUCGCUCAAUGGUGGAACGGCCAUUGAUACUGCAAGACUUGAAUUAUUGGGAAGUAACUAGAAUAUGUAGUGUAGCGGUGAAAUGCUUAGAGAUUACAUGGAAUACCAAUUGCGAAGGCAGGUUACUACCAAUAUAUUGACGCUGAUGGACGAAAGCGUGGGGAGCGAACAGGAUUAGAUACCCUGGUAGUCCACGCCGUAAACGAUGGAUACUAGCUGUUCGGAGCAAUCUGAGUGGCUAAGCGAAAGUGAUAAGUAUCCCACCUGGGGAGUACGUUCGCAAGAAUGAAAC